GCAGCUUCUAAACUUGAUCCAAGUAGCCAAUCACCACAUAUACCAGCCCUUCCACGAGGAUCAAAGAUGCAUGGAAUUCCAGGAGUGUUGGUUGGAAGAGCUGCACCCCAUAGUUGUAAUUUUGUAUAAAAUGGCUUUUGGAGUGAGCUUUUUGAUAGUCCUAGAGCCUUCUCAACACCCUCAAGCAUAGCUUCCUUCACUUUCUCUCCUGUAGCAUUUGGAAUACUUUCCUGGGGGACUUUGUUCUGCUUUCCAAAGGUUGCAGUGCUGAAAAAUGUCCAACAUUGUGGACCACUAUCUGAAGCUAAGAGUUUCUUAGUGUUGUUUGCCAUCCAUGAGACAGAUUCAACCCCUUUUACAAAAGCCCCUUCAAAGGGAAGGGACGCUGCAUUUAGUGCAGUUGGCAGAGGAUCCUCAAAUGCAGCAAGAAGAGCCCAUAUAGAACUAAGUUCAAGUCUCUUCAUUUGUUUUGCAAUGAGGGGUAAGCCUGAUGCUGCAAGCAAUCUAUUGGCACAUUUACCAUUAUGUGCAAUGACAAUUGCAUCAAACUGCCCACAAGGCUUCCCCUUCUCA
rnacentral:misc_RNA from 1 species